rnacentral:tRNA from 1 species
GGUGAGAUGUCCGAGUGGUUGAAGGAGCACGCUUGGAAAGCGUGUAUGUGCGAAAGUGCAUCGGGGGUUCGAAUCCCCCUCUCACCGCCA